GAUGAACGCUGGCGGUAUGCUUAACACAUGCAAGUCGAACGGUCUUUUCGGAGAUAGUGGCGGACGGGUGAGUAACGCGUAAGAAUCUACCUUCAGGUUCGGGACAACCACUGGAAACGGUGGCUAAUACCGGAUGUGCCGAGAGGUGAAAGGCUUGCUGCCUGAAGAAGAGCUUGCGUCUGAUUAGCUAGUAGGUGUGGUAAAGGCGCACCUAGGCGACGAUCAGUAGCUGGUCUGAGAGGAUGAUCAGCCACACUGGGACUGAGACACGGCCCANACUCCUACGGGAGGCACAGUGGGGAAUUUUCCGCAAUGGGCGAAAGCCUGACGGAGCAAUACCGCGUGAGGGAGGAAGGCUCUUGGGUUGUAAACCUCUUUUCUCAGGGAAGAAAAAAAUGACGGUACCUGAGGAAUAAGCAUCGGCUAACUCCGUGCCAGCAGCCGCGGUAAUACGGAGGAUGCAAGCGUUAUCCGGAAUGAUUGGGCGUAAAGGGUCCGCAGGUGGCAUUGUAAGUCUGCUGUUAAAGAGUCACGCUCAACGUGAUCAAGGCGGUGGAAACUACAAAGCUAGAGUGUGGUCGGGGCA
rnacentral:rRNA from 1 species